UACAGAGGGCGCGAGCGUUGUCCGGAAUCACUGGGCUUAAAGGGCGCGUAGGCGGACUCGCAAGUCUGUGGUGAAAGCCCCCAGCUCAACUGGGGAAGUGCCGUGGAUACUGCAAGUCUGGAGGAGGGUAGGGGCAUCUGGAACGCUGGGUGGAGCGGUGAAAUGCGUUGAUAUCCAGCGGAACUCCGGUGGCGAAGGCGAGGUGCUGGACCCUUUCUGACGCUGAGGCGCGAAAGCCAGGGGAGCAAACGGG
rnacentral:rRNA from 1 species